rnacentral:lncRNA from 1 species
UGACUUCAUUUCCAUUCAUCACAUCCACUUCAGGCUUAAAUGAUUUAAGGUUCCUUCCUUCCUUCCUUCCUUCCUUCCUUCCUUCCUUCCUUCCUUCCUUCCUUCCUUCCUUCCUUCCUUCCUUCCUUCCUUCCUUCCUUCCUUCCUUCCUUCCUUCCUUCCUUCCUUCCUUCCUUCCUUCCUUUCUUUCUCUCUCUUUCUCUCUCUUUCUCUCUCUCUUUCUUUCUUUCUUUCUUUCUUUCUCUUUCUUUCUCUCUCUUUU